CCUACGGGUGGCAGCAGUGGGGAAUAUUGCACAAUGGGGGAAACCCUGAUGCAGCAACGCCGCGUGAGUGAAGCAGUAUUUCGGUAUGUAAAGCUCUAUCAGCAGGGAAGAAAAUGCCGGUACCUGAGUAAGAAGCCCCGGCUAACUACGUGCCAGCAGCCGCGGUAAUACGUAGGGGGCAAGCGUUAUCCGGAUUUACUGGGUGUAAAGGGAGCGUAGACGGUAUGACAAGUCUGAAGUGAAAGGCCGGGGCUCAACCCCGGGACUGCUGUGGAAACUGGGUGGCUGGAGUGCGGGAGAGGCAAGCGGAAUUCGUAGUGUAGCGGUGAAAUGCGUAGAUAUUAGGAAGAACACCAGUGGCGAAGGCAGCUUACUGGACUGUAACUGACGUUGAGGCUCGAAAGCGUGGGGAGCAAACAGGAUUAGAUACCCUUGUAGUC
rnacentral:rRNA from 1 species